GGGGAUGGUUCUGCCCAUCGCUUCGCGUGUGACCUGCCAACAGCAAUCCCCAGGCUGCUUUGCUGAGAGCUUAUUUCUCAGUAAGACCCCAUCCACCAGCAGAAGGAUCCGUGUUUUUCUCCCUGUCUGCGUUGGAGUUGUCACAGUAGUUAAGUCCAGCUAUCCGUAAGAGCACAGGGGACACCCCCCCAAAUACCCCAGCCUGCAGAAAAGCACUGAAGACCAAAAGAAGCAAAACAAGAUAACAAAGCUGGUAACAGCAAUUGGAGGAGUGACUUCCAGGAUGGGGCUACAAAGAAUUGAGCAGCUCCAACUCCUGCAGUGGGACCUCUUGGCCCAGGCUGGGACUUGUGUGGCAUAAUGGAAUUGGCAUGAGGGUGGGCCGGUACCUCCUUCAGGGACAGAAGAGCCGAAAAGGAGACUUGCACGAGAUAAGGCAGCCCAUCACCCUGCACACUGCUGAGAGGGACGGCGGAGGGACUGGGUGAGGAUUGCUGGUUCAUCUCUGUGCUGGCUGCCAGGCUGGCUGCGGUGCUCACAAAUGAGGUCCAGAGGGUUCUGUGUCUUUCUUGCCCCAUUGCAGAGGUGAAAAGGCCCUUUUACAAGAGGGCAAACUGAGGCACAGAGAGUCCUGCCUGCCCCAGGUUAGCUUUCUGCACUGAAAGUGAUGCCCUUCUGUAAGCAAACACAGCUCUUCUCUCCCGCAUGCAUCCUCCGUGCUGGCCUCACUCGCUGCUCAGAGGGAGCACUGCGUUCCCCCAGCCUGGAUCCUUUGCUCCCAUGUAUUCUUCAAGAUCCAGCACAUCUCAGUCAGCCUCUUUAUUCACUGCUGGUCUCCCCAGGUGGGUUUGCCUACACAGCUCAUUCCUGCCGCGCAAGACCUCCACUAUUUCAGACCGUGACCCUCUGCAUCU